GACGAACGCUGGCGGCAUGCCUAACACAUGCAAGUCGAACGAAGCCUUCGGGCUUAGUGGCGCACGGGUGCGUAACGCGUGGGAAUCUGCCCUUUGGUUCGGAAUAACAGUUGGAAACGACUGCUAAUACCGGAAGAUGACGAAAGUCCAAAGAUUUAUCGCCAGAGGAUGAGCCCGCGUAGGAUUAGCUAGUUGGUGUGGUAAAGGCGCACCAAGGCGACGAUCCUUAGCUGGUCUGAGAGGAUGAUCAGCCACACUGGGACUGAGACACGGCCCAGACUCCUACGGGAGGCAGCAGUGGGGAAUAUUGGACAAUGGGCGAAAGCCUGAUCCAGCAAUGCCGCGUGAGUGAUGAAGGCCCUAGGGUUGUAAAGCUCUUUUACCCGGGAUGAUAAUGACAGUACCGGGAGAAUAAGCCCCGGCUAACUCCGUGCCAGCAGCCGCCGUAA
rnacentral:rRNA from 1 species